UGUGGUGCGGGAUAUAAAUACGCGUGAUGUGCGCGGCUGAAAAUCAAUUAUAUUUUCAAAUUCGAAAAGUGAAGUGCAAGUGAUAAGUAAAGUGAAAAGUGUAAAGUGUAAGUUUAAAGUAGUGCAAUAAAGUGAAGUGUUUUGAAUCAGUAUAACUUGCCUAGUGCUUUCUUCGCGUGCGGAAAGUGUCGUUUUCGUACAGUAUGGAUGAAACAACAAGGCCACACAUGUAGAAGCACUUACUUAGGGCUCACUCACAAUUUUAAUAACACCGUAAUAACACCGAAAAUUGUCAUUUUUGACAUCCACACUCUCUCGUAAUGCUUUUUGUAUGAAUAUUCUACACAUUUUAUACAAGCUGUAACAGCUUGAUCGUUAUUAAAAUCGUAAAUGAGCCCUUCUUCAUAACUUUGUCGAUUAGAUCACUAGUGACAUAUUAAAAGCAUUUAUAAAUAGGUUUGUUUUCCAGAUAAGUUGUGGUAUUGAGCAAUUACAGAAGAAUGCUAAACCAAUCUGCAAUAAGUAAUUAAACUUCGAUUCAUAACGAUAUAAAAGUGGCGACGAGGAUCAUAGAAACGUGUGUUGGAGAUUAUCGUUUUUCUUUGAGGUGGCGAGUUUGCCAAUUUUAUUUAUUUGAGUAUGGUGAAAUUGCCAAUUUGAGUUGAACUAAAUUGUUCUUUAGAGCUGACGA